rnacentral:rRNA from 1 species
CAUGUCUUUUUGAUUAUAAUUUAAGGUUUAAUCUGCUCAAUGAGAAUUUAAAUUGCCGCGGUAUUUUGACCGUGCAAAGGUAGCAUAAUAAUUAGUUUCUUUAUUGGAAGCUGGAAUGAAUGAUUGGACGAGAAAAUUACUGUCUCUUCAAAAUUUUUUUUUGAAUUUAACUUUUAAGUUAAAAGGCUUAAAUGGUUUUCAAAGACGAGAAGACCCUAUAGAGUUUUAUAGUUAAUAAAUUUUAAAUUUUUUUGGUUAUUAGUUGGUUAAAGUUUAUUGUAUUAUUUGGUUGGGGUGACUUAAAGAUUUAAUAAACUCUUUAUUUUAUUAUCAAUGAUUUUUGAUUUUAGAAUCUAAUUUUUUUAAAGUUAAGAUAAAUUACCUUAGGGAUAACAGCGUAAUUUCUUUUUAGAGUUCUUAUUGAGAAAGAAGUUUGCGACCUCGAUGUUGGAUUAAAAUUUAUUUUCGGUGCAGAAGCUAGAAAAAUUGGGUCUGUUCGACCUUUAAAAUUUUACAUGAUCUGAGU